CUAUGUCCCCAGUGUGUCGGGAGUGGCAGCACCUCCCACCCAUAUAUGCUACGGUGGUGGGUGUAUGGAACGAGCUGCUGGAGGAGGUAGUUGAGGCAGGAACUGGAACAAUAUUUCAAUGACUUUUAGACCAGGUACCUGGCACAGUGUCCCGGCAGUCGUCGUUUGAUGCCUCACAGCGCCAGAGACCCCUGUGUCUCCCUCUCCCCUGACUCUCAGUCUGAAGAAGGGUCUCGACUGUGGAAUUCUCUGCCUCAGAGGGCGGUGGAGGCCGGUUCUCUGGAUGCUUUCAAGAGAGAGCUAGAUAGGGCUCUUAAAAAUAGCGGAGUCAGGGGAUAUGGGGAAGAAGGCAGGAACGGGGUACUGAUUGGGGAUGAUCAGCCAUGAUCACAUUGAAUGGCGGUGCUGGCUCGAAGGGGCCAAAUAGCCUACUGCUGCACCUAUUGUCUAUUGAAUCCACUCUUCCUAUCCAGAGAUGCUGCCUGUCCCACUGAGUUACUCCAGCAUUUUGUUUCUAUCACCAUUAAUCUUGGUGUCUCAGGGUCAGGUGAGGGUUGGAACAUCAAAGUUCCGGCUACUCCCCCAUGUGGAGCAUGUUUGCAUGUGUACGCUGUGUUGGUCGAGACACUCAGGGUUGCCUUCAGUCCAAUGCCCUGUUGACAAUCACUCUAGGUUCAUGUAAUGCAAGCACGGUGCUGAAGGGCGUUGGGCUCUUGGCAGAACUGUCGUGGAGUUGGCUUCUUCAGGGCUGUGUAUUCAGUCGGAGUGGAUCUGAUCUUCCCCAUGGAGAUCACACCAGUCAUUGCCUUUCAUUAAAUAGUUCCAAAUGAUACUUGGGCUGUAACAGAGCAGAAAGAUUUCUGCCCACCCUUGUGGGUUUUAGCCUGAGCUCAGUAUCUUGUUCACGUUGUAUCUUCUGCUCUCUGCCUCUCCAGCUGAUGUUUGCAAUUUAAUAAGAUAUGGGACUGAUGUUGUGCCUCUUAUCCAGACUAAAAACCUCACUGGGUUGUGUGUGUGAGAGAGAGAGGAGAGAGCAGGAUGAAUAAUGUUUAAAAAUGACAAAUGUUGGCACUUGUGUUACAACUUAUUUACACCAAACGCAUCUCAUUACUUGUGGUCAUUAACACGAUGUUUCUUUUUACAUUUGCAUUUUUUUCUAAUGGAAAAUUGUUCUUACAAAACCCUGUACAACCCCAAAGCUCGCUCAGUGGCCAAAGACUGAUCCUCCUCCACAAGAGUGACUUGAGGCCUUCUGAAAACAAAUGGCAAUUUUCAGUUUUCAAAGCUGGCCUUUUGCGUUAAUGAAGCCCAGCAGUUUCUCUGUGCUGCAGCAGGGAUACGCCAGUCGGAGGCUGUAGCCCCUGAUCAGAAUCGGUAAAGCCUGGUUUAAAAAUCACAUUUGGCAAUUUCAUACAUCGACAUAGGGCCAGCUUCUCUUUAAACUUACUCCUUGGAAAACUAAGUUAAAGCGCGGGCUUUAUGCAGAUUUGCAUUUGGUGUAAUGCAUGGCCAGGAAAAGCUAUCGGAGAAAAUCCUAAACGCAAACGAUUCAGUUCAACGUUUCAAAGACUUACCAUUUCAGACCAAGAUCAUGGAAGCAAAUCAAUGAAUUUAGUGUUAUGGGCAUCCAAAUGAUUGUAUUUUUAAACUCUUUGCAUUGUAAACACAAUUAAAAAGUAUGUACUUUCCAUCCAACAAAGUGAUCUGUGUGUUUUCUUGCUACUUAUUUUUGGUGAUGUCCUCAUUGUGGAGAGUUUAUUGCAGCUCAGGACACCACUGUCCAUCUCCGCUGCUUCAUCCCAACUCACUUCCUUCGGAGCGUAUGAGGCAGAGGAAGCAUUUGAAUUGAUGGAUUUCUGCAUGCCCUUUCACUCUGUGAAGUAUUCAUCUCUUGUGCAAUAUCUGAAAGGCUGGAUCCAUUGACACAUGGCAAAGCCCUCACCCCGACAGUGAGUAAAGUGGCCCAAAAUGAUGCACCUUUACUUCAGAUGUCAUUGAACCCAACGAGGAGUUUCCCUGCUGUUCAGGGUUUAAAUUCAGCAGUACAAGGAUUGGUGUAUAAAAUGGUGGAGGGAUAGAUGCACAAAGUCUCUUGCCCAGAGUAGGUGAAUCGAGGACAUAGGUUCAUGGUGAAGGGGAAAUGAUUUAAUAGGAAUCUGAGGGUUAAUGUUUUCACACAGAGGGUGAUAGGUGUAUGGAACAAGCUGCCAGAGGAGGUAGUUGAGGCUGGGACUAUUCCAACGUUUAAGAAACAGUUAGACAGGUAGGGCAGGACAGGUUUAGAGGGAUAUGGACCAAGCGCAGGCAGGUGGGACUAGUGUAGCUGGGACAUGUUGGGCCGAAGGGCCUAUUUCCACAUUGUAUCACUCUGACUGUGUAGUCUGAAGAUAGGUUUUGGCCCGAAACGUUGCCUAUUUCCUUUGCUCCAUAGAUGCUGCCGCACCCACUAAGUUUCUCCAGCACUUUUGUCUACCUAUGAUUAGAGGCAACAUUUCUUCUGAGCAAUGUAUAGGAGUGUGGAAGUGUUCCCUCGAUUCCAUCGUCCACAUCUGUUUGAUUCUAUCCCACCUUCUCAGCUCAAUACACUUAUCCCAUCUAUAAAUAAUCUCCAAACACCUUCAGUUAAACAAACUCCAUAGAUAUUUUUAAAAAUCCAAUCGAUUUAUUAACCAACAAACCACCUUCAGGUAAAGACAGGCAGAAGGAGCAAUAUACAAACAAAUUAACACAGAUCCAAUGUUGUAUAAAAGCUUCAAUUCUUCCACACAAAUUUCAAUCCAUGAAACAGUUUUAAAAAAGUAGAUAUUGACAAAAAAAAAAAUUUAAAAGACAUCUUCCCAUCUUGCAGGCAGAGGCAUCGAAU